CUUGGCUCUGGCAUAAUGGAGGCUUUAGAGGGCACAGAGAAAAGGUCCUAAACAACCUGAAAUGGCCACUGCAUGGCACAGGCAGAUCUCAGUCAUUGACUGGAAAUCCAAAGUACUGAAGAAUUUCCACUGUUCUGCAGUGUGGGGCCUGCCGACUGUACCUGGAAGCGCUGACUCAAAUUUUUCACCUUGGAUGAAAUGCACUGACACGUCACCCAGCCAAUAAACCAGACUCCCUGUGG
rnacentral:lncRNA from 1 species